GGACCAUUUUGGAGCCAAAUGCCAAGUUUAACUGACAUAGGGGAGACAUAUACCCAGGACUCAGUGGCAUAAGAACAAGGACCACAUCAGGAGAGCAAGAGUUCAAAUUAGCCACGUGCCUAAAGAAGCAAACAUUGGUGCCAUGUAUAUACAAGCGAAGGAACCCUGGAAGCUAACAGAAUCUGAAAAAAAGCAAAGAAAAUAUUCUCCCUUAUGGUGCAUCCAUAAAACAUAAUGUCCGUUGCUGACACAUCAAUUUCAUUAACAUCUUUUACUUUUUAAUCCAGAAAUAUAAAGCAGUAAGUACUUGAGCUACUUAAUUUAUGUAAUUUGUUGCAAUGAUAGUAGAAACUAUAUAUAUGAGAGAUAAAAAGCCAUAGGAGCAAAAAUAUGUAAUUUUUUUCCCACAAGAAACCUGUUUCCCAAAUAAAAACAAGGAUGAAAGAAUAAAGUCCCCUGGGUAAAGCAUGUGAGUGAAUUGCCUUCAUGUGACUUUACAAAGUCUUUUACCAAUUCCAGCUUGCUGGACCUAGCAAUUUAUAAUGGCUACCAUCUUCCUUUAAAUAUGUAUUUUACUCAUAUCAGUCUGAGAUAAUUUGUGCUUUGGUGAGACCAAUUCUGUCUCUGUAGGUUUGAUUUUGUAUCAUUUUUGCUUUGGUGUACUCUCUGUUCAUUUAAAAUUUGUCCUUAGAAGUCAAAGCCAUUCACAUUCUUUCUGGAUGAUUUGGUAGAGACUCAUGCUCAUUCUAUGUAUUAAGGCUACUCAUAAAGAAAGAUAUUUAACAAAGAAAUCAUCCAGUGAACAGAAACGUCUCUUGUUCAGCAUGUACCAGCACCUACUAGUAUCUGGGUGAUAUUCAGAGGACAGCACCAGUGCACAUCCAUCUGGAUGAAACUACACUUCUACUACUCAUUUUUUUAAUGCUAGAGGGCAAUCAGCUUUACCAUAAAGGCUACUAGAUGAUGCUCUGUACUAUUGACUCUUCAAUCAACUGCAUACUUAUGUUUCCCUUUUUGUUUUGCAACCACAUGAUUCUGACAUAUAAAAUCUACGUGCAUGUCAUUUUUAAAUAUACAUUGUGAAGUUAUUUCUAUAUUCUCAUUAUUUAAUGUAUCUAUCAUCUAUGCAUUGUUAGCAUUUUGUACACUUAAAUAAGGAAAAUUGUAGCAAAAAUCUUCAGUGUAUGCUGUCAUAUAUUACAGUUUCCUACUAACACUCAGAUGUAUCUCCGUGUUGUUGAACAGAGCACAAUUCCUCAAGACACUUAUAAGAAAAGAUGAUAAAGAUGAUCAAUCAUAUAACUCCAAAAGUCUGCAGUGAGUGUCUGUGCAUGUCACUAGCAAUCCAAAGAUAACUCCAUUUUUCAUUGUAAUGUUAACACAUUUAUAUUUCCUUAUAUACUCUCCCC
rnacentral:lncRNA from 1 species